rnacentral:piRNA from 1 species
AAAAAAAUCUUUCCCUCUCUUACAG